AUGAACGCUAGCUACAGGCUUAACACAUGCAAGUCGAGGGGCAGCAUGAAGUCAGCUUGCUGACUUUGAUGGCGACCGGCGCACGGGUGAGUAACGCGUAUCCAACCUUCCCCUUACUCAGGAAUAGCCCGUUGAAAGACGGAUUAAUGCCUGAUGUUCUCUAUUUCCGGCAUCGGUAAUAGAGCAAAGAUUCAUCGGUAAGGGAUGGGGAUGCGUAUGAUUAGCUUGUUGGCGGGGUAACGGCCCACCAAGGCAACGAUCAUUAGGGGUUCUGAGAGGAAGGUCCCCCACACUGGAACUGAGACACGGUCCAGACUCCUACGGGAGGCAGCAGUGAGGAAUAUUGGUCAAUGGUCUGACGACUGAACCAGCCAUGCCGCGUGAAGGUGACGGCCCUAUGGGUCUUAAACUUCUUUUGCAAGGGAGCAAUAAGGCGUACGUGUACGUCGAUGAGAGUACCUUGCGAAUAAGCAUCGGCUAACUCCGUG
rnacentral:rRNA from 1 species